AGCGAACGCUGGCGGCAGGCCUAACACAUGCAAGUCGAACGAAGUCUUCGGACUUAGUGGCGGACGGGUAAGUAACACGUGGGAACGUACCUUUUGGUUCGGAACAACUCAGGGAAACUUGAGCUAAUACCGGAUGAGCCCUUAGGGGGAAAGAUUUAUCGCCGAAAGAGCGGCCCGCGUUAGAUUAGCUAGUUGGUGAGGUAAAGGCUCACCAAGGCUACGAUCUAUAGCUGGUCUGAGAGGAUGAUCAGCCACACUGGGACUGAGACACGGCCCAGACUCCUACGGGAGGCAGCAGUGGGGAAUCUUGCGCAAUGGGCGAAAGCCUGACGCAGCCAUGCCGCGUGAAUGAUGAAGGUCUUAGGAUUGUAAAAUUCUUUUACCAGGGACGAUAAUGACGGUACCUGGAGAAAAAGCCCCGACUAACUUCGUGCCAGCCGCCGCCGUAAUAC
rnacentral:rRNA from 1 species